AGGGAGAAGCAGAACUUUUAACCGUCUUCCCACGGCAUCUGACUUUUUUGAGGAGGAGAAUGCAGCCAAGAGCAGAAGCAGUGAGGUCCACGAUGGUGAAAAUGAAUCCAGCAGUCCGUCCUAUCCUGUACCUGCCUGAGUACAGGAAGAGACCUCAUACAAAGCCAGAAUGCCUCUGGGCUUGCAGCUCUUUUUAACCAUAUUAAGUCCUAUUCAGAGUUAAUGAUGAGCUCAGUGAGACUGGUCUAAGCAAUGCCGAAGGGAAGAACAGAGUUGGAAGGCAGGGUCUAUUUCAAAGCAGGAUUUUUCUUCUUUCCGUAACACCCAAACAUGAAGACUUUAUAAACUUCAUUAGAUCCUGCCAUCAAUGACUGAGCCUCCUUGAAAUCUUCUUAUCAGUUACUGCCAAGAUGAGAAGGAUAACAGGAAGGAGGAGUGCUUAAGUGGUUUUAAUGACGGUUAAUUUCAUCUAUUUAUCAAAUGACAGGUUGUUUUUUCCUCAAAACUCGAUUGUCAUGACAAGAUGCUUUUGGAAGUCAUCUUUGUAAAAUAAAACUGACAAUUUUUAGGCUACAAAGAGCUAUUGUAUCUUUCUAUACAAUGUUGUCAUUAUGGUAAACCACUGGAAGGUCUUUAUUUUUGAAGUAAUUUAACUUGCAUACUUCAUUAAUUUAUUUGAAUGUCUGUUGAAUGCCAUGUGAAAAGUUUCUUGCCAGAGUUCUUUUAUUCAAUGGAAUAGUUAUUCUUACAAUGCUCAAUUUAUUAUUGUCUAAAUUACUGUUGCCUUAGCCUCCUGUAAAAAUGUUUCUUUUUAGUAAUUCUUAAAUAAGGAAUGAAUGAGGUUUUGUCCCCUUCGUGUUUUGAUCGGUGUAUUUUUCCUUUCAGUGAAAGCAUCUUCAGUUUUCAGAAUGACACUGUUGCAAAGAAAGGUCCUUUUGCUUUUUUUGCCUUUUUUUUCCCCAACAGAAAAUGUCUUUUGUGCAAUGAUUUUUUUAAUAUGUACACUGCCAAGACGCAAUUACUGGAAGGAGAGACAGAAGCUGUUGGGAAUGUCAUGUUAUGCCAAAUUAAGAAUUAUUAGCUCUUACUUUCUCUGCAAUCUCUUCGACUAGAACUCGACCUAUUGCGUCUGGCUUAUACUUUGACUCUAGUGGAACUAAUGCGUCCUUGGAGUAGCAUUUUAGAGUAACUUCAGAUUCAUAUUUUUUUCACAAGUCUGCUUUAAACUGCUGGGAUUAACUUCAGAGAAGGCAAGAGAUACAGCCUCCUUUUGUCAGCAGCUGUGCUGGUUAAGGAAGGAGGCUUCAUGCACACUUGCUUGCUCACUCUCUCCCGGAGGUUAUCGCCCUUGCUAGGGAAGCAAGCUGAACUGUUUCCCUGAGCCCACCCAGACUUACUUCAGCCAAAGUUAACCAUGUUAUCAAAUACUAGUUAACUAGCACCCUGGGUCAUUUUGAUGAAGGGGCAGGGAAUGCACAGACCAGCUGCACAGGCAGUGUAUCUGGGAGGGUGGUGUGUUGACAAGCGGGUUGUUGAGGAGCUGGUGGUGGUGUAGUCUUUUCAGCAGGUGCAGUUACAUCUCUAAGAUGUGGUAAAAAUUGGACGUGUUAGAAAGCUGUGCAGUUCUGUUAUGUAUAAUAUUCACAUUUCUGGGACAUACUGGAUAAUAUAAAAUAAACCUGUGCUC